AUUGAACGCUGGCGGCAGGCCUAACACAUGCAAGUCGAGCGAGAGGCGGACGGGUGAGUAAUGUAUGGGGACUGCCCGACAGAGGGGGAUAACUACUGGAAACGGUGGCUAAUACCGCAUACUAUCGGAUAACCGACAUGGGAUUAGGUAGUAGGUGGGGUAAAGGCUCACCGCGGCGACGAUGCCUAGCUGGUCUGAGAGGAUGAUCAGCCACACUGGGACUGAGACACGGCCCAGACUCCUACGGAGGCAGCAGUGGGGAAUAUUGCACAAUGGGCGCAAGCCUGAUGCAGCCACGCCGCGUGUAUGAAGAAGGCCUUAGGGUUGUAAAGUACUUUCAGCGGGGAGGCGUUACCCGCCGAAGAAGCACCGGCUAACUCCGUGCCAGCAGCCGCGGUAAUUC
rnacentral:rRNA from 1 species